CCUACGGGUGACAGCAGUGGGGAAUAUUGCGCAAUGGGCGAAAGCCUGACGCAGCGACGCCGCGUGAGGGAUGAAGGUCUUCUGAUCGUAAACCUCUGUCAGCAGGGAAGAACGGUCACUUUGCUAAUCAGCCUUGAAUUGACGGUACCUGCAAGGGAAGCACCGGCUAACUCCGUGCCAGCAGCCGCGGUAAUACGGAGGGUGCGAGCGUUAAUCGGAAUUACUGGGCGUAAAGCGCUCGUAGGCGGUAUGUCAAGUCAAGGGUGAAAGCCCCGCGCUCAACGGUGGAACUGCCGUUGAAACUGGCAAACUGGAGUGUGUGAGAGGAUAGUGGAAUUCCAGGUGUAGGAGUGAAAUGCGUAGAUAUCUGGAGGAACAUCAGUGGCGAAGGCGACUAUCUGGAACAUAACUGACGCUGAGGAGCGAAAGCGUGGGUAGCAAACAGGAUUAGAUACCCGGGUAGUC
rnacentral:rRNA from 1 species